rnacentral:rRNA from 1 species
ACUCCUACGGGAGGCAGCAGUGGGGAAUAUUGGACAAUGGGCGCAAGCCUGAUCCAGCAAUGCCGCGUGGGUGAAGACGGCCUGCGGGUUGUAAAGCCCUUUAGGCGGGGAAGAACGGCCGGGCGCGAACAGCGCGCGGCUCUGACGUACCCGCAGAAUAAGCACCGGCUAACUCCGUGCCAGCAGCCGCGGUAAU